rnacentral:lncRNA from 1 species
ACAAGUGCACACAAGUAUAUCCAGGAGCUACGGAGAAAGAAACAGUCUGAUGUCAUGUGCUUUCUUCUGAGGGUCCACUGCUGGCAGUACCGCCAGCUCUCUGCCCUCCACAGUGCUCCCCACCCCACCCAGCCUGAUAAAGCGCAGCAACUGGGCUGCAAGACCAAGCAAGGUUACAUUAUAUAUAGGAUUCAUGUUCGCUGUGGUGGCCGAAAACACCCAGUUCCUAAGGGUGCAACUUACGGCAAGCCUGUCCAUCAUGGUGUUAACUAGCUAAAGUUUGCCUGAAGCCUUCAAUCUGUUGCAGAGGAAUGAGCUGGAUGUCACUGUGGAGUUCUGAGAGUCCUGAAUUUAUAUUUAGAUCUAUGACUUAAAUAUUGGAUUGGUGAAGAUUCCACAUACAAAUUUUUUGAGGUUAUCCUCAUUGAUCCAGUCCAUAAAGCUAUCAGAAGAAAUCCUGACACCCAGUGGAUCACCAAACCAGUCCACAACCACAGGGAGAUGCGUGGGCUGACAUCUGCAGGCCGAAAGAGCCGUGGCCUUGGAAAGGGCCAUAAGUUCCACCACACUAUUGGUGGUUCUCGCAGGGCAGCUUGGAGAAGGCGCAAUACUCUCCAGCUCCACCAUUAUCGCUAA